rnacentral:rRNA from 1 species
UACGGGAGGCAGCAGUGGGGAAUAUUGCACAAUGGGGGAAACCCUGAUGCAGCAACGCCGCGUGAAGGAAGAAGGUUUUCGGAUCGUAAACUUCUAUCAACAGGGACGAAGAAAGUGACGGUACCUGAAUAAGAAGCCCCGGCUAACUACGUGCCAGCAGCCGCGGUAAUACGUAGGGGGCAAGCGUUAUCCGGAAUUACUGGGUGUAAAGGGAGCGUAGGCGGCACGCCAAGCCAGAUGUGAAAGCCCGAGGCUUAACCUCGCGGAUUGCAUUUGGAACUGGCGAGCUAGAGUACAGGAGAGGAAAGCGGAAUUCCUAGUGUAGCGGUGAAAUGCGUAGAUAUUAGGAAGAACACCAGUGGCGAAGGCGGCUUUCUGGACUGAAACUGACGCUGAGGCUCGAAAGCGUGGGGAGCAAACAGGAUUAGAUACCCUGGUAGUCCACGCCGUAAACGAUGAGUGCUAGGUGUCGGG